GACGAACGCUGGCGGCGUGCCUUAUACAUGCAAGUCGAACGCAUUGGGGCCGGGUGAGUAACACGUGGGUAACCUCCCAUCAGAGGGGAUAACACUUGGAAACAGGUGCUAAACCGAUACUGAUGGAUGAACCCGCGGUGCAUUGGCUAGUUGGUGAGGUAACGGCUCACAAAGGCCACGCUGCAUAGCCGACCUGAGAGGGUGAUCGGCCACACUGGGACUGAGACACGGCCCAGAUUCCGACUGGAGCCAGCAGUAGGGAAUCUUCGGCAAUGGACGAAAUUCUGACCGAGCAACGCCGCGUGAGUGAAGAAGGUUUUCGGAGCGUAAAACUCUGUUGUUAGAGAAGCGGGAUCUAACCAGAAAGCCACGGCUAACUACGUGCCAGCCGCCGCGGUAAUUC
rnacentral:rRNA from 1 species